CACGGAGUUAGCCGGUCCUUAUUCUUACGGUACCGUCAGUCCGCCUCACGAGGCGGGGUUUCUUCCCGUAUAAAAGCAGUUUUACACACCAUAGAUGCUUCAUCCUGCACGCGGCAUGGCUGGUUCAGGCUUGCGCCCAUUGACCAAUAUUCCUCACUGCUGCCUCCCGUAGGAGUCUGGUCCGUGUCUCAGUACCAGUGUGGGGGAUCUCCCUCUCAGGACCCCUACCCAUCGUAGCCUUGGUAAGCCGUUACCUUACCAACUAGCUAAUGGGACGCAUGCUCAUCUUUUACCGGUUGUGACUUUAAUAUAUAAAUGAUGCCAUUCACAUAUACCAUGGGUAUUAAUCCAAAUUUCUCUGGGCUAUCCCCCGUCGUAAAACGGUAGAUUGCAUACGCGUUACGCACCCGUGCGCCGGUCUCAAGCUAGCAAGCUAACUCUACCCCUCGACUUGCAUGUGUUAAGCCUGCGCUAGCGUUCAUCCUGAGCCAGGAUCAAACUACU
rnacentral:rRNA from 1 species